UACGUAGGGUGCGAGCGUUAAUCGGAAUUACUGGGCGUAAAGCGUGCGCAGGCGGUUUUGUAAGCCAGAUGUGAAAUCCCCGGGCUUAACCUGGGAAUGGCAUUUGGGACUGCAAGGCUGGAGUGCGGCAGAGGAGACUGGAAUUCCUGGUGUAGCAGUGAAAUGCGUAGAUAUCAGGAGGAAUACCGAUGGCGAAGGCAGCUCACUGGGACGGUACUGACGCUGAGGCGCGAAAGCGUGGGGAGCAAACAGG
rnacentral:rRNA from 1 species